UAUGAGCAUUACAAAUCAUAUCAGUUUUUCAAAAGAUUUUUUUAAGCAAUGCAAAUUUAAAAAUGAGUAAGAAUUGUUAAAAUAUGUUUUAAAUAAAGGAAUAUUUUAACUUGAGAGAGCUGAGAAAUGUAAGGUUAAUAGAAAAUGAGAAAAUAUUUAACCUUUUUAACUUUCGAUUAAGAUUAUGAUAAUAGACAAUUCACAAUCACUGAUGAUAAAUAAGAGAGUAUUGAACUACAUUUUGAUGCUACUGAAAAAAUAAGUUGUCUGCUGUGGUGUACUUGCUGUUAACUUUUCACUUUGGAGGAUCAUGUGGUUAAUUAAGAUACAUACACAGGCAGUAUACAAAAUAUGUUGGGUAUAAUAUACCCCCUAUAGAAGUAAGCAGCCCACCUGAACACAGGUCUCAUUAGCUAAAUUAAACAACACGCUACUGAAGUGAAACUUCUUCAAACAUACCGGGAUAGGGGUUAAGGAAUUGGUUUAA
rnacentral:lncRNA from 1 species